CGGAGUGUAGCUCAGCCUGGUAGAGCACCACGUUCGGGACGUGGGGGCCGGAGGUUCAAAUCCUCUCACUCCGACCA
rnacentral:tRNA from 1 species